CGAAAGUCGUAGUGCACAGUAAGAACCUAUUGGAAUACCUAACUGCUGAAAUAUACAUCCUCUUAACUCAGCAAGUAUUCUUUUUUUAUAAGAACCGAAACAGUUGAAGAUAUAAUUAUAUAUAGAUAGAUGACGACAUCGGGACUAGUAGUUGACUAGUAGAAUCAUCGACAUAGUGAUGUAAAUAAUGACAAUAACACGUUAUAAAUUUCAUGCCUCCCAAAGCUGUUCUGGAUUUAGUUUCAUCAUUAACGCCAAAAGCCGCACAUUUGAGACUAUGUAUAUGAACAGAAACAGUUGAAGAGCAAUAUGACCAAAAAAAAAAGAAAAAAUACAAUUUGAAAGAAGAAAGCUCAGCGGGAAAAUGUUUUGGGAUAGCCUAAUAAAAAUACAUAUGGUUGUGGUAAACUCCAUAACCAACACAGAUGUAACUGAGAGAGAGUAGAAAGUAAAGUAACGAUAUUCAAAACGUCCAUAAUCAAAUGGCCAAAUCAAAAGCUCAGAACACAUCAAACGAUUGGAUAACUGUUGUCCUAUUCCUGACCUGGCACAGCAGAUACACAGUAGAUUUGAACUAUGAACUAUCGUAGUACUUAUAUUUGCAGAAUUUUAAAUUGUAAAUAAUAAGAUGUUAUUAGAUAAUAAUUAAGUUUAGAAGAAUAACGGACGACAAAACAGGAAACUGAAAUUGCCUCGACACAAAACUAAACACCAAAUAAAAAGAGGUACCAGGCGUAUAAUUUGAUACGCCAGACGCACGUUUCGUCUAUGUAAGACUCAUCAGUGACCCUCAGAUCAAAAUAGUUAGAAGCCAAACACGUAUAAAGUUGAGGAGCAUUUAGGACCCA
rnacentral:lncRNA from 1 species